AUACAUGAAUCUGACAGAAUCUAACAGGUAGCGCCAUAAUCUUGUAGUAAUACAUGAAUCUGACAGAAUCUAACAGAUAGUGCCAUAAUCUUGUAGUAAUACUCCUAAUCCAACUCCGAAGUCAUCCAAUAUUGUUACUACACACUUUCAAACUUUCCAUAAAACAUAUCUAUUACUUACUCAGUAUUCCUAGGGGAUUUCGAAUGAGUACAUAGUUCCGACAUUAAAGCAAUGAAGGCCCAUCAGAGAUCACGAAUUUCU
rnacentral:lncRNA from 1 species